rnacentral:rRNA from 1 species
GAUGAACGCUGGCGGCGUGCCUAAUACAUGCAAGUCGAGCGAACGGACGAGAAGCUUGCUUCCCUGAUGUUCGCGGCGGACGCGUGAGUAACACGUGGAGAACCUACCUAUAAGACUGGGAUAACUUCGGGAAACCGUAGCUAAUACCGGAUAAUAUUUUGAACCGCAAGGUUCAAAAGUGAAAGACGGUCUUGCUGUCACUUAUAGAUGAAUCCGCGCUGGAUUAGGUAGUUGGUAAGGUAACGGCUUACCAAGGCAACGAGGCGUAGCCGACCUGAGAGGAUGAUCGGCCACACUGGGACUGAGGCACGGCCCAGACUCCGACGGGAGGCAGCAGUGGGGAACUGUGGACAAUGGGCGCAGGCCUGAUCCAGCCAUGCCGCGUGUCUGAAGAAGGACUUAGGGUUGUAAAGGACUUGUGUAAGGGAAGAAAAGGGCGGGGUUAAUACCCCUGUCUGAUGACGGUACCUGAAGAAUAAGCACGGGCUAACUACGUG